AAUAAAAGUGAGCGUGAAGCAUAGAGAGAAAGGAUGCUUGAUGCUGGUGGGCAGGAGCUGAGGCAAGUAGGAGGGAACUGGGGGAUAUAAAGGAUUUUCCUGGAAAGAAGAUUCCCAGCACAUAAGAGGGUUUACAGAGCACGCUCUGAUGCUUCUUCCAAAAAAUUCCAUGCAGGCUGGGUGAGAUAUUUUGGACAGAGAAUGAUGCUGAGAAGACGCACCAUUGGCACCUUGGACCUGGGCAUCCCGGAGGCUCCAGAGCAGAGAGAUCUGUGCCAGCUCUGCAGGAACCUGGCUCAUACUUGAAA
rnacentral:lncRNA from 1 species